rnacentral:lncRNA from 1 species
CCAUUUUGCUACUUCUUCUUCAUCGCAACGAUGACUACUGCGACUCGCGUGGCAUCAUGGGAAGGACUGCAGUGGACCUUUACCCCACAACUUGUGUCCUUGAGCAGAAUAAGAUGCUACCAGAACUUGCUGAUUAACUGCAGUCAUCUUGAGCAGUUUCCAUGCAUUCUGCUGGGAUGAAGCUGAGACGUGUUAAAUUCAAGGAUUGCUGCAGAGGAUGGGUUUAUGGCGAUCAUGGACAUCUUAUGGGUGUUUCAGCCUUCCUCCUGUUGGCCAUGGCACAGUGCUUUUGGUAGCACUGUCAAAUGACUGGUUACCAAAGAAGUGGCUGUUUACUUAAAAGGAUCCCUGGUUAAAGUCUUUGAUGGGUUGAGUCCUUCUAGCGGUUUUAGGUUCCAGUCAAGAUGUACACAAUGGCAAGACGCCUUGUCUGAAGUUAUCCAAACAGGACUGUAGUGGACCAAAUUGUGCAUCCGUGCAGAAAGAGAUGCUACAAGGAUUUACUGAUCGAUUGCCAUCUUCAUGUACAGAUUUCAACUGCAUGUUGCUGAAAGCCUUAAGAGGGAGAGGUGGACAAUUUUGUACUUUUCAGUGUAAUGCAAGCUCUUGCUGAAAGCAGCUAAGAGGAACAAAUAAAUGAUUUUGCUGAACUCUGUCUCUUUGACUUUAGAUUUAUCCCAAGGUAACAAGUACUGUGAGUUUUACUAUUGUGCAAGACUGACCUUUUUUUAUAAGCUCAAUUCAUUAACUUAAAGAAAUAAUAAACCAUUUAUUUGUGCAAGUUGACUUUUACACCAUUCUCAAUU